AAACUGUGUUUUAUUUGCAGAUCACCUGGCAGCCUUGGGCCCCAUUGCCUGACGCAGUUUGGGAGCGGAACGCCGGUGCUCGAGAGACUGCCCGUUUCAGAGUCCUGCUAGAGGGCCCAGUCUACCGCGCUUGGUACUUGGGUGAGCACUUCUUGCGGCAGACCCUCGGCUUACCGGAGCAGGUAGUCCCGAGGCCGCCUCCCACCCAUAUGAGGUAUACUGAGAGGUAUACCUCCGAGGAGAUGAUGGAUUACACCAUCGGCUGGGACUCUGAGGGCUUUAGAGACGAGGGCGAUUACGCCGAGUACAUCCAAGUCUAUCUGAUGCGGCCUUUGAUUGGUGCUCGUCGAGUAGAACGAGAGAGGCCAGCGGUGCCAGCAGCGGGAACGGGGGCACCGAGGGCACCUCCAGCCCGAGGCAGGAGUGGGUCCCGGAGAGGGCAGGGAGCUGGAUGGCCAGAGCUGCCCACGACGAUCAUAUGCAGAGGACAGGGUGGGGAGACUUAUCAAAUUCCCUUCGCUCCUCCUCCAGCUGAUUAUGAGCUUGUCAGAGUCUAUAGCUCGACCCUGGCUUCCAUCGAGUACACUCGCAAGUCCCUGGAGUUGACAGCCUCAGCGGUGGAGAUGCUGCAGUAGUGCAUCGGCUUGUUGACCAUCUACAAUAUCCCUGCCCUAUUCUAGAUUCCGGUUGCGGGAGGUGCUCCAGCUGGACCAUCUGUUCUUGCUCGAGGAGGAGGAGGAGCCAGGCGGAGGAUGACUAUCCACAGCCGAGGCAGACAUAGGCGCACCCGUGCUGAGAUCAGUUCACAAGAGCCCUCCCCCGAUGAUUUUGAUGAGGAGACGGCGUCGUCCCAGGGUGAGGCCGGAGACAUCUCAGGCUCUGACUACGGAGCCGGCGGUGGUGAUCCUGGGCCCUCGUCCAGGAAGAGGACCAGGACGGAUUCCCGUGUUCGAGAUGACUGAUACUGAUCCAGACACUUGCUGCUUUUCUUCUUUUCUUUGCUUUGUUCAGACAUUUGUUGUUUUUCUCCUCUUUUUUGCUUUAGUUUUCUUUUUACUAGUAGUUUGCGCACAUUGUACUGUCUCAGGUAGGUUUUACUUUCCUCAAAACUGUGUACU